rnacentral:rRNA from 1 species
ACAUGCUUACAACAUAGCGUUAAUACAUUGGAUCCCAUUAAAACUCUGCAAUUAAGUGUGCUCAGGCUAGAGUAGUACUGGGAUAGGUGACCGCCUGAGAAGUCCUAGUGUUUUACAUGCC